GGGGUGGUUAGCGUUGAGUUUCAGGUUCUAUAAGAACGGGACUAAGGAAACUCAUUACCAGGUGGUAAUCAUCUUCAUCUAUUCAAUAACACCGUUUGGUGUACACACUAAAUUGUGGCACUGGAGACUCACAUAGAACUGAAGUAACUCACCAGUUCCUAGAGGCAGGUGGGCACGUAGGGAGAGAGAGGCAGCGGCGCCUUCCAGGCGCUCUCCCUGGUACAGAGGCGGCGGGGGCCAGGGCUGUCAGGACACCCAGGCCCACGUGCCAGGCUCCGGCUCACCUGCCCGAGGGCAGAGCGGGAAGCUCCGCCCCUCGCGGAACCCCGGCCUGUGCGCAGUUCCCGUGCCCUAGGAGUUGGCGGCGGGGCCCAGCCGAGUGAAGCAGAGUUGCCAGCCAUCUAUGGAUCCUAACUAAAUUGGUCCUUGUAAUACUCGGUAUUAUUUGCCAAGAUAUUGAAAAACCUCUAAACAGUGAGAAGCUCCCAGCCCCUUUUCUGUGUCUCUCAUCACCAGCUGCUGUGCCCUGAGGACACCCAGGCAGCCUAAGGAGAGGCCCACAGGUGAGAAACUGCAUGUGUGAGCUGAGCUUGGAAGUGGAUCUUCUAUGUUUUGCCAACAGCCACGUGACUAGUUUUGGAAGCAGAUUCUCCAGCCCCAGCUGCACCUGUGCCAGAGGCACCCAUUAAGCCGCACCUAGUUAAAUUCCUGACCCACAAAGACUUUGAAAUCAUAAAUGUUUGUUGUUUUAAGCUGCUAAGUUUUGAAGUAAUCUGCCAUGUAGCAACAUGAAACUACUUGGACCAAAUAUGUGUUUUUCUAAGCACAGGAAUAUUCACACUUUAUUAAACUUGAGUAUUCCAACAAUAGGAUGGAAGUCCAAGUUUUAUUUCUUUGCUGGGACCCUCACAUGCAUGUAUCACAUAUGUAUCAUUAAAAAAUGAAGGACAAAUCUAAUCAGG
rnacentral:lncRNA from 1 species